UGGUGCUUGCACCUGAUUGAUUUUGGUCGCCAACGAGUGGCGGACGGGUGAGUAACACGUAGGUAACCUGCCCAGAAGCGGGGGACAACAUUUGGAAACAGAUGCUAAUACCGCAUAACAACGUUGUUCGCAUGAACAACGCUUAAAAGAUGGCUUCUCGCUAUCACUUCUGGAUGGACCUGCGGUGCAUUAGCUUGUUGGUGGGGUAAUGGCCUACCAAGGCGAUGAUGCAUAGCCGAGUUGAGAGACUGAUCGGCCACAAUGGGACUGAGACACGGCCCAUACUCCUACGGGAGGCAGCAGUAGGGAAUCUUCCACAAUGGGCGCAAGCCUGAUGGAGCAACACCGCGUGAGUGAAGAAGGGUUUCGGCUCGUAAAGCUCUGUUGUUAAAGAAGAACACGUAUGAGAGUAACUGUUCAUACGUUGACGGUAUUUAACCAGAAAGUCACGGCUAACUACGUGCCAGCAGCCGCGGUAAUACGUAGGUGGCAAGCGUUAUCCGGAUUUAUUGGGCGUAAAGAGAGUGCAGGCGGUUUUCUAAGUCUGAUGUGAAAGCCUUCGGCUUAACCGGAGAAGUGCAUCGGAAACUGGAUAACUUGAGUGCAGAAGAGGGUAGUGGAACUCCAUGUGUAGCGGUGGAAUGCGUAGAUAUAUGGAAGAACACCAGUGGCGAAGGCGGCUACCUGGUCUGCAACUGACGCUGAGACUCGAAAGCAUGGGUAGCGAACAGGAUUAGAUACCCUGGUAGUCCAUGCCG
rnacentral:rRNA from 2 species